AUUUGAAUAGUUUAAUAAGAAUAAUAAUUUGUGGUGUUAUAGGUAUAUUUUUAUUUCAAAUC
rnacentral:tRNA from 1 species